UACGUAGGGACCAAGCGUUGUUCGGAUUUACUGGGCGUAAAGGGCGCGUAGGCGGCAAUUCAAGUCAGUUGUGAAAUCUCCGAGCUUAACUCGGAACGGUCAACUGAUACUGUUUUGCUAGAGUACAGAAGGGGCAAUCGGAAUUCUUGGUGUAGCGGUGAAAUGCGUAGAUAUCAAGAGGAACACCUGAGGUGAAGACGGGUUGCUGGGCUGAUACUGACGCUGAGGCGCGAAAGCUAGGGUAGCGAACGGG
rnacentral:rRNA from 1 species